AAAGAACUCUCCCUCUUCACAGGAUUGCUACGCGACACACAAGAGAAGCAAUCUUAGUAGUAAUCUGUCCAGGCCUUUUCCUGAUUGGCCUCUGUUAACCUCAGUGCGCGUAGAAGGCUUGCUAACCAGCAGACAUCAGUGGACACUUCAGAGUCAGACCCAUAAGCCUGCUUGUCAGAAAAGAAAGGAGGGAGACUGAUGCUGCUCUCAAGAUCUUCCAGAAGUGAACCACCCCAGACUUGAUGCUCCAGCUCAGGCUGGGAUCACAUUCCUGCUCUUUCCACUAAAGCUCAACAUGCAACUGCAGCAGCGGGACUGGCUCCUGUGGAGGGGGCCUAUCUACAGUUCUGCCCCCUGAGACCUGCUGCUUCUGGGACCUGUUCUCCACAGAGGACCGUUCUUCCUUGACUUUGGGGACCUCCUAGAGCUGAUGGUUAUAAUCUCUCCCAAUCUUUCUUGAUUUGUAUCCUGCUGCAAAUGAGAGUCUUAAGGUCUCUUCCUUCUGGGUUCUAUUUAUGUAUUUCUUUGUGUGAAUUAUUGCUCCUAUGUUAGAAGUAAAACUCCCACUUUUUGUCUCCUUUCACUUUCUGUCCACUCCAAUCUUAGAGUUAUGACAAUUGGCCAAAAUGAGUAGAACCCAUGGCACAUCAAGUUUCUAUAGAAUCAGAUGCAUCCUGGGUGGGCAUCUAAGCCACUGACCCCGCUUGAUUGGGGGGUGGACAAGGGGCAUCCCCUGACCUGGGGCCCCAGGAUGAUACCCUGUAGCCCUGGGGUUAUGGGAGAGAGGGCUGAGGGAGAGAGGUUCCCACGCAGGUGAGAGUAUGCACAGGGCCUUGAUGAAAAGAGACAGUCUAUGAUUUUAGAGCUUUAUUGUAGAAAGGCAGGGGGAAAGAGAAAAG
rnacentral:lncRNA from 1 species